ACAAAGUCCCUUCUCUCACAGGCCAAGAAGUUUAGAAAAAUCUACUUCCUUCAGCAGCACUCCUCACCCUCAGUCUAAAAAGAAAAAGAGAAACGAGAAGAAGUGAAAUCGAUCGCAGUUGCCAGUAACGUCGUGAAGUAUUGGUGUGUGAAUCAAAAAGUUAGAAAGUUGAGCCACCCCAUUGCAAAUAGGAUAGUCAGGAUCUGGUUCCAUAAAGUCGGUCAAAACAAAAACAAAAAAAAGUCGCAGAAGAUAUAUAGAUGGGUUGGGGUUGGGCAAUCUACGAGGGAGUGGUGGCGUUGGGAUCGCUGGGGCUGCUGGGAUGGGCGGGGCUGUGGUUCUUGAACCGAAGGCUCUACAAAGAGUACGAAGAGAAGAGGGUCUUAGUUCAGAUCAUAUUCAGCGUGGUCUUCGCCUUCUCUUGUAAUCUGCUGCAGCUGGUCCUCUUCGAGAUCAUCCCCUUUCUCUCCCAAAGGGCACGAUGGCUCAACUGGAAGCUCGAUUUGUUUUGUCUCAUACUAUUACUGGUUUUCAUGUUGCCUUAUUAUCAUUGUUUCUUAAUGCUCUGCAACAAUGGGUUCCGGAAGGAACGCGCUGCUCUUGGAUCCGUCUUGUUCUUGCUCGCCUUCCUUUAUGCUUUCUGGCGCAUGGGCAUUCACUUCCCUAUGCCUUCCCCCGAUAAAGGCUUCUUCACCAUGCCUCAAUUGGUCAGUCGGAUUGGGGUCAUUGGCGUUACUGUCAUGGCUGUCUUGUCUGGUUUUGGAGCUGUCAAUUUGCCCUACAGUUACUUAUCUCUCUUUAUCAGAGAGAUCGAGGAAGCAGAGAUCAAGUCCUUGGAAAGACAGCUAAUGCAAUCCAUCGAGACUUGUAUUGCUAAGAAAAAGAAGAUCAUUCUUUCUCAAAUGGAGAUGGAACGGAUUCAAGGAUCAGAAGAGAAAUUAAAGGCUAGAUCUUUCUUUAAAAGAAUUGUUGGCACUGUUGUGCGAUCUGUGCAAGAGGAUCAAAAGGAGCAAGAUAUUAAAAACAUGGAAGCAGAAGUGCAAGCAUUAGAAGAGCUUUCAAAGCAGCUAUUCCUGGAAAUUUAUGAGCUUCGUCAAGCAAAGGAAGCUGCUGCUUAUUCUCGAACCUGGAAGGGUCAUAUGCAGAAUCUACUUGGUUAUGCAUGUUCAAUCUACUGUGUAUAUAAAAUGAUUAAGUCUUUGCAAAGUGUUGUUUUCAAAGAGGCUGGCUCUGUGGAUCCUGUUACAAUGACAAUUAGCAUAUUCUUGCAGUUCUUUGACAUUGGUAUCAAUGCAGCAUUGUUGUCACAGUAUAUUUCACUCUUGUUCAUUGGAAUGUUGAUUGUUAUAUCAGUUCGUGGAUUCUUGACAAAUUUAAUGAAGUUCUUUUUUGCAGUAUCAAGAGUUGGGAGUGGAUCUUCUAGCAAUGUUGUACUAUUUCUGUCUGAAAUUAUGGGAAUGUACUUCCUGUCCUCUAUUCUUUUGAUAAGAAAAAGCUUGGCAACUGAGUACAGGGCGAAAACAUGCUUCAAAACUUUGAAAUGAAUUUGAUGCACAUUUACAUGAAAACCAGAAGUUGCCUCUAUUCUCAGUUUCAGAACAAAAACAUUGUCCUCUUCUUAUACUUCAUAAGUAUGGAGGGCUUGGGGAAAAAUAGUAACCGACCAAAAUACUUUGGCUUACAAGAUGCAUCCAGGAUGAUCAUAACAGAUGUAUUGGGUGGAGAUAUUCAAUUUGACUUCUAUCACCGGUGGUUUGAUGCAAUCUUUGUGGCCAGUGCUUUUCUUUCUCUGCUUUUGCUUUCUGCACAUUAUACCUCUCGGCAGGCUGACAAACACCCGAUUGAUUAAUGUAGUUUAAUGCCAACUAUGUAAUGUAACUAACAACUUAACCUUUUCAUAAAAAUUCCAAAAAGAAGGCGAUUUGAAUGAUUUGAUUCAUAAUGCAUUUUUUAGGUUUUAUUAUGAAA